UACGUAGGUGGCAAGCGUUGUCCGGAAUUAUUGGGGCGUAAAGCGCGCGCAGGCGGCCUCUUAAGUCUGAUGUGAAAGCCCCCGGCUCAACCGGGGAGGGCCAUUGGAAACUGGGAGGCUUGAGUAUAGGAGAGAAGAGUGGAAUUCCACGUGUAGCGGUGAAAUGCGUAGAGAUGUGGAGGAACACCAGUGGCGAAGGCGACUCUUUGGCCUAUAACUGACGCUGAGGCGCGAAAGCGUGGGGAGCAAACAGG
rnacentral:rRNA from 1 species